AUGCUCACUUUGGCAGCACACGUACUAAAAUUAGGACGAUGCAGAGAAGAUUAGCAUGGCCCCUGUGCAAGGAGAGCAUGCAAAAUUCGUGAAGCGUUCCAUAUUUUU